AAGUCGUAACAAGGUCUCCGUAGGUGAACCUGCGGAGGGAUCAUUAACACGUUUCCAAACGUUACCAACCAAACGCGAACUUAUGAAAAAAAAACCCGACCUGGAAGAAAAGUAAUCGUUUAGUUCUAUUAGUGAUGGGCUCUUUCACGGAGCGAUAGAAUUGAACUUACAUAGCUCGACUAUGAAGAUGACUUUUCUCUCAGGUUUAACUCCAUUCUUUCCAUCACAGGAAUAAACAAACCCCUUUCACCCCCUAUGAUAAUUGACUGAAAUACCAUUUGACUGGGAGAAAUCCUGUUAAAUGAUUAAAAAAACUAAAAGCACAACUCUUAGCAACGGAUAUCUAGGUUCUC
rnacentral:misc_RNA from 1 species